ACAAGCGGUGGAGUAUGUGGUUCAAUUCGACGCAACGCGAAGAACUUACCAGGGCUUGACCAUCCCCUGACCGCGUAUGAAAGUACGUUUUCACCUCGGGUGACAGGGAGACAGGUGGUGCAUGGUUGUCGUCAGCUCGUGUCGUGAGAUGUUGGGUUAAGUCCCGCAACGAGCGCAACCCCUACGUUUAGUUGCUAACGCGUGAAGGCGAGCACUCUAGACGAACUGCCGUUGACAAAACGGAGGAAGGUGGGGAUGACGUCAAAUCAUCAUGCCCCUUAUGUUCUGGGCUACACACGUGCUACAAUGGCCGGUACAGACGGACGCAAAGCCGCGAGGUGGAGCAAAUCCUAAAAAGCCGGUCUCAGUUCGGAUUGCAGGCUGCAAUUCGCCUGCAUGAAGUCGGAAUCGCUAGUAAUCGCAGGUCAGCAUACUGCGGUGAAUACGUUCCCGGGCCUU
rnacentral:rRNA from 1 species